rnacentral:rRNA from 1 species
GAUGAACGCUGACAGAAUGCUUAGCACAUGCAAGUCUUUGGCGAAGCUGUGCUUGCACAGCCUAGCCAAGGCGGACGGGUGAGUAACGCGUAAGGAACUUGCCCUGCAGUCAGGGAUAACAGACGGAAACGACUGAUAAGACCUGGUAAAGUCAGGCGGACUCAUGUCCAGCCUGAUGAAAAGAGAUGCUGCAGGAGAGCCUUGCGUCCUAUUAGCUUGUUGGUGGGGUAACGGCCCACCAAGGCGAUGAUAGGUAGCCGGCCUGAGAGGGUGGACGGCCACAAGGGGACUGAGAUACGGCCCUUACUCCUACGGGAGGCAGCAGUGGGGAAUAUUGGACAAUGGGGGCAACCCUGAUCCAGCAAUUCUGUGUGCACGAUGAAGGUUUUCGGAUUGUAAAGUGCUUUCAGCAGGGAAGAAAAAAUGACGGUACCUGCAGAAGAAGCGACGGCUAAAUACGUG